UGUUAUACAGGGGUGGAAUAUCUAGUGGAAUCAGCGGGGAUCUUUUGCGCGUUUACAGGGUUAUUUCUAGAGAUGCUGCUGAGAAUGCACAAAAUUUUAUCCGACUGCCAGAUUUCACGUUUUUAAGUUGGCAUAUGAUCAAAAUAAGUGGAUACCUGUGCAAUGCUUAGGUGAAAGGGCAGUGUUUGUGGGUCUGGAUCAUUCAUUUUCUCUUUCAACUCCCGACUAUCCAGAGCUGAAGAAGAAUUCUAUUUACUUCACAGACCAAAUGGAUGAACAUGAUACCAACCCAUAUGUAGGUCACGAUAAUGGCGUAUUUCACUUGAAAGAUAACUCCACCACACCUUUUUUCCGGGCACAGAUUUGAAGAAGAUUCAACCACCACCCGUUUCGAUUGCCAUCCUAGUUGCAGUUAAGUACCCUUUUUUUUUUACUUUUUUUUCCUUACCCUUUGCUGAGUUUUUUUUCCUUCUCUCUCUUUCCUUUUCUCUCUAUCCUGUCCUUUGGUGAGUUCUCUCUCUUCUCUCUCUCUCUACAUAACUACUGUUACGGUACUCUUCCGUGUUAAUUGAUUCGUGCUUGUCAUGAUUUUUCAUUUAAAAUUUUCAUGGCCAGUGUUAAAGUAGUAGUGUAUAUUUGGUGUGAUUACAGUUUCCACAUAAAGAGUGAAUGUGAAUGUCAAUAUCAGACAUUUUGUGAUAUAAUCAAAACUGAAGGUGCUUUUAUUAGAGCAUGCUUUAUUGUUAAUGAUAUUCACUAUUCAUCAAAUUAGUACCAUGUUCUCAUAGUCCCUGAAAGGUGCCAACUCAAAAUCCGAAUAUGAAAGUUGUUUGCAAUACUGCAAAUAGACAAUUACAUAUAUGUGUCAUAGCAAUUAUCAGAAAUGAAGCAUUUCGCAUGAAAAAUGAAACAAUUAAUAUGAAACAAAUUACAAUGAUUUAUAGAAUGCAAAGAACAAUUUAUACAUCACCAUCCGAUAACAAUCCAGACACAGAAGGAAGGAGCUAAAGGGAAAAAAGAAGUCAACAACGAAAUAAAGAAAAUCAAACAUAUUGUUUAGAAUUAGAGGAAAAUGAGAAGUUGAUGCAUAUAUGUCGGGAAUAGCAUUGAUAUGAUUCUGGAUAACCCAAACAACACAAGGGCUUAAUCGAAUUUUGGCCUUUGUAGCUGAGAGAGAGGGAUAACCCGAAUCGGAUACGGUUGAAUCUUCUUCUUCAACUGGCACCGAUGAAUGGUGUUAUCUUCUAAGUUACAGACACCCAAAUCAUUACAUCCAUAAGAGGAGUAUCCCAUAUCUUGGGGGGUGAAGUAAAUAGAAUUGUUUCUCAACUCCGGAAAAUCGUUGGCACAGAGACACAGAGUGAUUAAUACCAAGGAACAGUGCACCAUCACCUAAGCUUGGUACAUAUACCAACUUCUUCUGAUCAGAAUCUAGCUUAAACACAGCGAAUCCAUAGGUCUUCUUACCGUUGUCUUUUUUCAUAAAUUUUGUACCUAACAACCAACAACAGAUCCCCCGAAGACUCCACUAAAUAUCUUGGAAAAUGACAAGACACAUGAGAAAUAAAAAGAGUGCAUUUUGGAGAGGCAGGGUUACUGAGAUCCCAUGCAUCUAUAUGUCCAGAAGUGGACACAGCAUAAAAACGUUGGUCCUUGCUGAAAUAUGCAAUUUCCUCAUAUCCCUCUUGAUCCAGCCGUGGUGAAUCUAGGGCAGUCCAUGACGUGUCACCAGGCCAUUUCUGCAGAAGGCAAGAUCGGCUUUUUUAUUAUGUCCUUGGAUGACCAUUACUGUGCAGUUCUCGGAAGAAUUGAUUGGAAUAAUAAUGAGGGAAUGAGUUUGGGGCUGAGGACAUGACAAGCUUCUUAAAGAAUUUAUGACUUAAUUCUUUAGAUGAUAUGGCUGUCAUUUGCUUCCAAAUCAUGUAUUCUGUAACAACGGAGGCGGCAGCAGCACGGUUGUCCUCGUCAUCAUCCUGGUGGUCAAGGGUAGUGGAAUUAGAUAGCAGAAGGGAGGAGGGGGAUGUAGGGGGAGAGGAAUGGAUAAAAGGAUUGUGGAGAUAGAUGGAACAAUUGCGUGGGUGGAUAAAGGUGAGCCAGCCAUGAGAGGAACCAAAGCAGAUGGUGUCGUGGAGCGAAAGGAUUUCCCUUUGCCAUGGCAGCCAAAGAUUCUUCCUUUUUUGCAACUCCACCUUCUUCUCUGCAACAUCCAAGAAGUGAUAGUAUUCCACAUGGUCGACCUCUGUCUCCUCCUCCUCCUCCGUUGUAAAGUCAAAGCAUUCAACGUUCAACCCAGGAGGUACCAUCAGCCAUGGUGGAGAUGCGGCUGCCAAAGGAUCAGUACAUGUUGUUUCUUCUUCUUUGACAUCUACUACUGCAGACGAAAAACAAGAUUGUUUAUUGAAGGCUAAUCUGCAUAUUUUAGCGAGGACCAACGCUUGAGGAUGAGAGAUGGACAGACUUGGGGCACGUGGAUGGAUCAGUUAUUGACGAUUACGACGAAGUUGCAUAUUUUAGCAAGGACCAACGCUUUUAUGCCACGAGCCAUGGCACAAAAUUGAUUGAAGCUUGGGAUCUCAGCGAUCCUUCUUCUCCCAAGUGUGCAGUGAUCCGUCAUUCCAUUCCUCAGAUCAAGACUUUUCAUAUUGUAAUGCAAUAUCUAGUAGAAUCAGCAGAAGAUCUUUUGCUGGUAUACAAGGUUGUUUCUAGUGAUGCUGAUGAGAACGGCAAUCCCUACAGAGGGAUCGAAAGUGAUGAAGAUGACUAUUGUUUGGACGAACAAGGAAAUUACAUGGCACCAUUUUAUCGGACUGUGGGAUUUCACGUUUUCAGGUUGGAUUUUGAUCCAAAUAAGUGUGUACAUGUGGAAUGCUUAGAUGAAAGGGCAGUGUUUGUAGGUUCGAAUCACUCAUUUUCUCUUUCAACUCGUGACUAUCCGGAAUUGAGAGAGAAUUCUAUCUACUUCACAGAUCAUAUGAGGGAACGUUGUAUGAACAGCAACACAUAUGCAGGUCACGAUAAUGGCGUCUUUCACUUGGAAGAUAAUUCCAUCACCCUCUUUAUCCAGGCACAACUUUGAAGAGGAUUCAACACCAUCCAUUUGGGUUGCCGGUUGCCCCUCCUACCACUACCUAUUAGUUGCAGUACCCUCUUCUAUUAAUUUGUUUCACUUCCAUGAGGGUCUUCAAUUUAACAGAUGAUAAGGCCUAGAGAGGUCUGGACAUCAUAGAAGGAAGGGUUUAUGGGGAACAUUGCUAAGCAUUGGAAAUUUGAUAUGCUACUAUUUGCUGUUCGGAAAUUUUAUAGUUUAUAGAGAUCACCGACACAAAAUUGUUGUGUGUUUGCUUUGUAAAGUUAUUUUAUUUUUAUUUCUUUUUAUCACUUAGGUUCCAUUGAAAAUUAUAAGUUUACCAUCUUU